UACGUAGGGGGCAAGCGUUGUCCGGAUUUAUUGGGCGUAAAGCGCCCGCAGGUGGUUCGUUGCGUCGUGCGUGAAAGACCCCGGCUCAACUGGGGGAUGUCGUGCGAUACGGGCGGACUGGAGGCCAGUAGGGGGAUGCGGAAUUCCGGGUGUAGUGGUGGAAUGCGUAGAGAUCCGGAGGAACACCAGCGGCGAAGGCGGCAUCCUGGACUGGUCCUGACACUCAGGAGCGAAAGCGUGGGGAGCGAUCCGG
rnacentral:rRNA from 1 species